rnacentral:tRNA from 1 species
GGAGAGAUGGCCGAGUUGGUCGAAGGCGCUCGACUCGAAAUCGAGUAGGCGGCUGAACCCCGCCUCGUGAGUUCGAAUCUCACUCUCUCCGCCA